GGAUGGUAAAAUGGAGAAUCUACUGCACAUCCUAAGCAUGAGGCCACUGGUUCGAGUCCAGUAGUCUCCACCA
rnacentral:tRNA from 1 species